rnacentral:lncRNA from 1 species
UUUUGGAUGCGAGAUCACCCACCCACUAGUCGAGAUAACAACAAACCAUGUAGAUCGCUAAGCAUCCCAAUACUCAUCCCUAAAGUGAAACUGCCCAUGAAACUAAGAUAACGGUAAGCAAUUUCUAACAACCAGAUUGGUUCAACAUUAGCAAAUUGGUUCACAAUUAUAGAGAGCAAAUGAAAUUACCUCAUGUUGAUUUCUUUGAUUAAUUGCCUCUCGCAUUGAUUAACCAUUUCCACCGGUCCCAGCCUCCAAAACUACAUUAGCCAGCAACACAUUCAUUAAAUAAAUCAUACGCCUCGCCCACUGAAUUAAUUCCCUCAGCCACUUCUACACCCAAAGCCAUUUCCCCUCCUUCCAUUCACCCAAAUAUGCCACCAUUUCAUUUGGAUCAAACAGAUUAUGGGUGAAUUCAGGUAUUUUCUUAAAAUAAUUUGCUAACAUUACGAUAAUAGCUAUUUUCCAUCGUACUCAUCAAAAUAAAUGGUGCUAAGUAGGACUGUUCGCAAGAACUGUUAAGAAUGUAAUUCAUCUUGAAUUAGUUAGUUAGUAGUUGAAUAAGAGUUAGUUACAACUAACUUGAGUUAGUUAGUUUGUUAGAAACUAACUAUGUUAGUUAGUAGUUUGUUAGGCCUAGUGGUUAAGCUUACUUGUUGUACAAGCUAACCCUAUAAAUACACUAGUGUGUAUUCAUUUGUAAAAUACUUUUCUUUGGCCCAUUAAGGAUGAAUAAAAUUUCUAUUUNNNNNNNNNNNNNNNNNNNNNNNNNNNNNNNNNNNNNNNNNNNNNNNNNNNNNNNNNNNNNNNNNNNNNNNNNNNNUCAAGCUCAAGCCUUCCUCGCCAAUGAGCUUGCCUGCAUUGUGCUUGCCUGUGCCUGCUAUCCAAGCCUGCUGAGCCUGCUAAGCCUGCAGCUUGUGCUUGGUGAACCAAGUCUUGUGCUUCUGCUGCGCCAACAAGAACUGCCGAACCAAACUAAAAAUAACCGAAUUUAUUUUGACAGCUUACGAACCAAAACUUAUAUUUCGCACACAGUUCAAUCCAUAACUGAACCGUAAAUAACCAAACUGUACUAACCGGACUGCCCAAAAUCUAUUCUCAAGUUCAGUUUUUUUGACACAAGUCAGGUUCAGUUUUAAAACCAUUCAUUGCCCAAAACUAAAAAUCCUGUUUCAAAAAAAAUAAAAUAAAAUUCCUGCAGAUCAUGAAUUGAAUAUUAACAACCCUAAAAUCCUAAAUAUUUUGCAAAUUGCAACCCAAUAAUGAUAUAAACCUCAAUCUUAAUGGAAUCAUUGCUCUCAGCUUUCAAUCUGAGAUAUGAUGCACCAGUUUGAACCUUCAAUCAACAAUCAUCAAUCAUGAAACUAAAGAAAGUGACCUUCAAUCAACAAACAUAUUUUAAUUUGUACGGCUAAAAUUAAUUUGCAAAGUUGCAUAAAAAGGAGAAUUGGCAAAAUUGUAUUCAAGUUGCUGAUCAAGUUCUUAAGUUUUGGAAAAAAUAGUUGGGUUAAAAACAAGUGUUUCAGUUGGCUUUAGUUCGAAUACAAAGAACCGGUUUACCAUACUAUAGUUCCAGUUCAGACCAAAUAAUUAGCAGUUUAGUUCAAUUUUUCGAAUAUGGUUCAGUUCAGUUUUCUUCAUGAACUGAACCAUGAACAGUCCUAGUGCUAAGCAUGAAAACAUACAUAUUGGUGAUGUUUAACAUCUAUUUAAUAUCUCAAGCCUCUCACCCCACUUCAAUUUUGAGCUAAAGUCUUCAAAACAAGCACUUACCUCAAUCAAAUAAGAAUUUUGUUCCUUUUACUAUGUUGUUUAAUCAUACACUAAAUUAUUCUUCCUUAGAGUUUUUGGUUGAGUUUGUUGCCCUUUUUAGGACAGAACAGAAACGAACUAGAUUUCAUAUUAGAAGAAUCCACCUUUUUGUAUUACUCUCCUUCUGCAAGCACUCAAUUUGUAACACACCUUGCAUACCUACAUAUGUCAAGCAAAUAGCAGCCGGUUUCUACUACAUCUGAUCAACAAAUAAGACCCAAAUAUUAUGUAAUAGAGAUAAUAACACCCUUCUCAAAUUAUUUGAAGAGUUGGUGCAAUAACAUUUAUCACUUCACUGUAACAUAAAAUGUACCUUGUGUGAAAUAUCAAUACCUGUAGUUUAUUCAAGUUAAAUUGGAUAAUUUGACAUUACUCCAAUAACACCAAGGUUCGAAAUCCAUAUCCGUUGUUAUGAAAGAGAAAAUCAUCAAAUAUAACAAAGACAUCAAUUUGAAUGAGCCAUCAGCUGAAGAAAAAAUCAAGUAAGAAGCAAGUUAGUUCAUAGUGAAGAAUGCAAACAAGCGAACCAAGUGACAAACAUUGACAUCACAACACCAAACCCCACCUCUAAGUCAUUAAAAUUUUCAAUAAGCUCUUG